rnacentral:misc_RNA from 1 species
GAAAUGCGAUAAGUAGUGUGAAUUGCAGAAUUCAGUGAAUCAUCGAAUCUUUGAACGCACAUUGCGCCCCUUGGUAUUCCAUGGGGCAUGCCUGUUCGAGCGUCAUUUGUACCUUCAAGCUAUGCUUGGUGUUGGGUGUUUGUCCUCUCCCCUGCGUUUGGACUCGCCUUAAAGUCAUUGGCAGCCUGUAUAUUGGUUUUGAGCGCAGCACAUUUUGCGUCUUGCAUCUAGUAAUACUAGCAUCCAUCAAGCCCAUUAUCACUUUUGACCUCGGAUCAGGUAGGGAUACCCGCUGAACUUAA